rnacentral:rRNA from 1 species
UACGGAGGGUGCAAGCGUUGUUCGGAAUCAUUGGGCGUAAAGCGCGUGUAGGCGGCUUGGCAAGUCGGUUGUGAAAGCCCGGGGCCCAACCCCGGAACUGCAUCUGAAACUGCCUGGCUAGAGUCCCGGAGAUGAAGGCAGAAUUCCCGGUGUAGGGGUGAAAUCCGUAGAUAUCGGGAGGAAUACCAGCGGCGAAGGCGGCCUUCUGGACGGUGACUGACGCUGAGACGCGAAAGCGUGGGGAGCAAACAGG